rnacentral:rRNA from 1 species
GAUGAACGCUGGCGGCGUGCCUAACACAUGCAAGUCGAGCGUGAUUUAUGAGGACGAAACUUCGGUCUAGGAAUCAUAAUGAAAGCUGCGGACGGGUGAGUAACGCGUAGGCAACCUUCCCUUGACACAGGGAUAGCCCCGGGAAACCGGGAUUAAAACCUGAUGACGCAAAACUGUACCAUGGCUGUUUGACCAAAUAUUUAUCGGUCAAGGAUGGUACUGCGUCUGAUUAGUUAGUUGGUGGGGUAACGGCCUACCAAGACGACGAUCAGUAGCCGACCUGAGAGGGUGAUCGGCCACAUUGGAACUGAGACACGGUCCAAACUCCUACGGGAGGCAGCAGUGGGGAAUAUUGCACAAUGGGCGAAAGCCUGAUGCAGCAACGCCGCGUGAGCGAUGAAGGCCUUUGGGUCGUAAAGCUCUGUCCUUGGGGAAGAAACAAAUGACGGUACCCAAGGAGGAAGCCCCGGCUAACUACGUGCCAGCCGCCGCAGUAA